CCUACGGGAGGCAGCAGUGGGGGAUAUUGCACAAUGGGGGGAACCCUGAUGCAGCGACGCCGCGUGAGUGAAGAAGUAUUUCGGUAUGUAAAGCUCUGUCAGCAGGGAAGAAGAAAGACGGUACCUGACCAAGAAGCCCCGGCUAACUACGUGCCAGCAGCCGCGGUAAUACGUAGGGGGCAAGCGUUAUCCGGAUUUACUGGGUGUAAAGGGAGCGUAGACGGCAGGGCAAGUCUGGAGUGAAAGGCAGGGGCCCAACCCCUGGACUGCUCUGGAAACUGUCCGGCUGGAGUGCAGGAGAGGUAAGUGGAAUUCCUAGUGUAGCGGUGAAAUGCGUAGAUAUCUGGAGGAACAUCAGUGGCGAAGGCGACUAUCUGGCACAUAACUGACGCUGAGGAGCGAAAGCGUGGGUAGCAAACAGGAUUAGAUACCCUAGUAGUC
rnacentral:rRNA from 1 species